UGAAUGUUCCUGCUCAGGAUUUGCUAAAGAAUCUAAAAGCUCAGCAAAGUGGCUGCACAUUGGGACAUGAAAAGUGUAUUUACAGGAUUAUUUUUUUGCAUUGAAGAGAAAUCAAGCUUUUUCUUCUGUAUAAAGAAAUGUCUUGGACAUGAGGAAGAAAAGGAAUAUGUUAAUCCCUGUGUUACUGAUUUGCUAUUUUAAAGAACACACCAGUUGCAGAAAACACUCCAGAAUAUCACCAAAAAGAGGAUUGGGCAAUUUCAAGUUUUUGAUGAACCAUCAUUCCAGAACAGAUGGAGUUUUUUCCUGAAAAGACCUAAGGAUUGAGGGUUGCACAUCUUAGGAAAAAACCACUUCUGCAGUACUUCUGACAUGGUACCUCUGGCAGUGCUCUUCCUGUCACCUGGGAGAAGAGGGGCACGAGGUUUCCCACAUCAUCUCCUUCCUUGCCAGCCCUUGACGCUUCCAGGAGGGAGAUAUCUCUUUGUUCUCCACCUUAAAAGAAAAAAAAAAAUCUGAAUUAGCGGCUUUGGUUCAUUAGGGCAUUUCAACACCUAGUUUAAAGCUUCAGAUGGGCUCCAGUGAGUACAGGAAGUGUGGGGGCAGUCAGAAUGACACAAGCACAUAUGUAAAUAUUUCCCUGGGUGAGGCUUCAAGUUGCAUUUGGGAAA
rnacentral:lncRNA from 1 species